UACGAAGGGGGCUAGCGUUGCUCGGAAUUACUGGGCGUAAAGCGCACGUAGGCGGCUCUUUAAGUCGGGGGUGCAAUCCUGGAGCUCAACUCCAGAACUGCCUUCGAUACUGGAGAGCUCGAGUCCGGGAGAGGUGAGUGGAACUGCGAGUGGAGAGGGGAAAUGCGUAGAUAUGCGCAAGAACGCCAGUGGCGAAGGCGGCUCACGGGCCCGGUACUGACGCUGAGGUGCGAAAGCGUGGGGAGCAAACAGG
rnacentral:rRNA from 1 species